rnacentral:rRNA from 1 species
UACGGAGGGUGCAAGCGUUAUCCGGAUUCACUGGGUUUAAAGGGUGCGUAGGUUGAUAGGUAAGUCAGUGGUGAAAUACUCCGACUCAAUCGGAGAACUGCCGUUGAUACUAUCUAUCUUGAAUACGGUGGAGGCGGGCGGAAUGCGUCAUGUAGUGGUGAAAUACUUAGAUAUGACGCAGAACACCCAUUGCGAAGGCAGCUCGCUACACCGGCAUUGACACUGAGGCACGAAAGCUGGGGGAGCAAACGGG